GACGAACGCUGGCGGCGUGCUUAACACAUGCAAGUCGAACGGAAAGGCCCUGCUUUUGUGGGGUGCUCGAGUGGCGAACGGGUGAGUAACACGUGAGUAACCUGCCCUUGACUUUGGGAUAACUUCAGGAAACUGGGGCUAAUACCGGAUAGGAGCUCCUGCUGCAUGGUGGGGGUUGGAAAGUUUCGGCGGUUGGGGAUGGACUCGCGGCUUAUCAGCUUGUUGGUGGGGUAGUGGCUUACCAAGGCUUUGACGGGUAGCCGGCCUGAGAGGGUGACCGGCCACCUUGGGCCUGAGAUACGGCCCAGACUCCUACGGGAGGCAGCAGUGGGGAAUAUUGCACAAUGGGCGGAAGCCUGAGGCAGCAACGCCGCGUGCGGGAUGACGGCCUUCGGGUUGUAAACCGCUUUCGCCUGUGACGAAGCGUGAGUGACGGUAAUGGGUAAAGAAGCACCGGCUAACUACGUG
rnacentral:rRNA from 1 species